UACGUAGGGUGCAAGCGUUGUCCGGAAUUAUUGGGCGUAAAGGGCUCGUAGGCGGUCCAUCGCGUCGGGAGUGAAAAGCUGGGGCUUAACCCCAGUCCUGCUUCCGAUACGGGUGGACUAGAGGUAGGUAGGGGAGAUCGGAAUUCCUGGUGUAGCGGUGAAAUGCGCAGAUAUCAGGAGGAACACCGGUGGCGAAGGCGGAUCUCUGGGCCUUACCUGACGCUGAGAAGCGAAAGCAUGGGGAGCAAACAGG
rnacentral:rRNA from 1 species